GGUCAUGCUGUGACAGCCUCACU
rnacentral:miRNA from 1 species